rnacentral:rRNA from 1 species
UAAUAGUUAUUUAUUUUAAUUUUCUCGAUUUUAAAAGAGCUAAGAAAUUAUUUAUUUUAUUGUAACAUAAAUAUUUAAAAUUUUUUUUUAGUAAUGAAACGUUAUUCGUUUUUAAAUAUAUCUAGUUAUUUGAGAAAUAAAUUUAAUUUAGCUAUUUAAAUAAUAUAAAAUUAAUUGAUUAAUUUAAUAUUUUAAAUAUUUAAUAUUUUAAGGGAUAAGCUUUAAAAUAAAUUUUUAUAAAAAUAAAUUUUAAAAUGAAAAAAGUUGUAGAAUUAGAAUUAUUCAUCAUUAAUAAUAUGUUAUUAUUAAUUUUUUUUUAAAAUAUAAUUUAUAUUUUUUUUAAAUAAUUUAUCAAAUUUAUAUAUAUAAUUUAUAUAUAUAUUUAAUAAUGAUAAAAUUAGUAUAAUUUAUUGUAAAAUUAAAUUUUAAAGUAAAGGUUAAGUAAAGGAACUCGGCAAAUAUUUUUUUCGCCUGUUUAUUAAAAACAUGGCUUUUUGAUUAUAAUUUAAAGUUUGACCUGCCCAAUGAAUUUUGAAUGGCCGCAGUAUAUUGACUGUGCAAAGGUAGCAUAAUAAUUAGUUUUUUAAUUGAAAACUGGUAUGAAUGGUUGGACGAGAAAAAGACUGUCUCUAUUUAAUUUAAUUAGAAUUUUAUUUUUAAGUUAAAAAGCUUAAAUUUAUUUAAAAGACGAGAAGACCCUAUAGAGUUUUAUAUAACUAUAAUAUUAUAAUUUAAAGAAUUAAAAUUAUAUUUUUAUAUUUAUAUUUAGUUGGGGUGACUAAAAAAUUUAAUAAACUUUUUUUGAAUUAAAACAUUAAUGUAUGAAUAUAUGAUCCAUUAUUUAUGAUUAAAAGAUUAAAUUACCUUAGGGAUAACAGCGUAAUAUUUUUUGAGAGUUCUUAUCGAAAAAAAAGAUUGCGACCUCGAUGUUGGAUUAAAAUUUACUUUUGGUGUAGAAGCUAAAUAGUUAGGUCUGUUCGACC